rnacentral:rRNA from 1 species
GACGAACGCUGGCGGCGUGCCUAAUACAUGCAAGUCGAGCGAAUUUUUGGGAGCUUGCUCCCAAAAAUUAGCGGCGGACGGGUGAGUAACACGUGGGCAACCUGCCUAUAAGACUGGGAUAACUUCGGGAAACCGGAGCUAAUACCGGAUAAUUCACAUCUACUCAUGUAGAUGUGCUGAAAGACGGUUUACGCUGUCACUUAUAGAUGGGGCCCGCGGCGCAUAGCUAGUUGGUGAGGUAACGGCUCACCAAGGCCACGAUGCGCAGCCGACCUGAGAGGGUGAUCGGCCACACUGGGACUGAGACACGGCCCAGACUCCUACGGGAGGCAGCAGUGGGGAAUCUUGCGCAAUGCGCGAAAGCGUGACGCAGCAACGCGCGUGGGGAA